UACGUAGGGUGCAAGCGUUAAUCGGAAUUACUGGGCGUAAAGCGUGCGCAGGCGGUGAUGUAAGACAGUUGUGAAAUCCCCGGGCUCAACCUGGGAACUGCAUCUGUGACUGCAUUGCUGGAGUGCGGCAGGGGGGGAUGGAAUUCCGCGUGUAGCAGUGAAAUGCGUAGAUAUGCGGAGGAACACCGAUGGCGAAGGCAAUCCCCUGGGCCUGCACUGACGCUCAUGCACGAAAGCGUGGGGAGCAAACAGG
rnacentral:rRNA from 1 species